rnacentral:rRNA from 1 species
CAGCCCCUCGAGUGGUGGGGAUGAUUAUUUGGCCUAAAGCGUCCGUAGCCGGCCGUGUAAGUCCCCCGUUAAAUCCAGCGUCUCAAGCGUUGGACUGCGGGAGAUACUGCUCGGCUAGAGAGUGGGAGAGGUGUGCGGUAUUCUGGGGGUAGGGGCGAAAUCCUUUGAUCCCCGGAGGACCACCAGUGGCGAAGGCUGCUGACUAGAACACGUCUGACGGUCAGGGACGAAAGCUGGGGUAGCGAACCGGAUUAGAGACCCGAGUAGUAC